CGAACCCACGAACCGUGAGAUCAUGACCUGAGCCAAAGUUGGACACUCAACCGACUGAGCCACCCAGGCUCCCCAGGACUAUCAAAAUUAAGUGUCUGACAAUGCCUGCUCCACUGGCCUGGACCAUCGAGAUACAAAGUGGAGGACCCUGGGAUCAUGGGCUCUUUCUGGCAGGUGGGAGGUCUGCUGUGAGCUCCCCUCCUCCAAGGCUUGUGUGGGCCUAGAGCCAAGAAGACCCCUCAAGCGCGAGUUCCCCCUUCUGGAAACUGCCGCGCCGCAGACCACUUUCCCUCCUCACCAAGCCAGCCUUCCCUGCCAUCGAGGCCUCCUCUGCCGAAGAGAAUGCUGUGUGCUCGCCAAACACCCUCAUUUUCCUCCUGGGCUGUCCUGGUUAAUUUUAUGUGUUAACUUGACUGCUCCCAUGUGUGGUCCCACGUUCUUCUGUGUGUGCCUGUGAGGGUUCUCUGAAUAAGAUUUACAUCUGAAUCAGUAGACUGUGUAAAACAGAUUAUCCUCCCUCUGUGUGUGGCCUUCAUCCAAUCAGGUGAACGUGUGAGCAGGCUCGCCCUCCCACAAUUAUGCGAGAAUUACUUGUGUCUGACUCCUCUUGAGCUGGUUUGUUUCUUUCCUGCCUUCAGAUGCGGUCAGCAAUCCUGGGUCUCCAGCUUGAUGACUCAGAUCUUGGGACUUAAACUCCGUAAUUACAUGAGCCAAUUCCUUAUAAUAAAUCUGUGUGUGUGUGUGUGUGUGUGUGUGUGUGUGUGUGUGUGUGUGUUUCCUAUUUGUUUCUCUGAAGAGCCCUAAGUAAUACAUGGGCCAGUAGAAAAGCUACCUUUCUCAGCUCCUUUUUCCCAUUUAGGUGGGGUCAUGUGACUGGUUUUAGCCAGUAGAAAAUGGAUGGAAUUGAUGUGACAGGAAGUGAGGGGCUCUGAGGGGUGGAGCCACAUAGUGAAAGGGUCCCGGGGCCAAGCCAUUGUAUGUUAGGCAGCUGCCUGGUUCACACUGAACAUGCAUAAGAGAGUUUGGAUUGUGUCUGUUACCACAAGGUAGCCUGGACUCCCAAGGCCACCUCCCAUACCCUGUGGCCCCACCUGCGGUCCCGUCCCAGCCUCAGCUCUGAUUGGCUGGCACUCUUCAAUGGGACCAUCCAGGUUUCCUUUCUCCGUGUCCCUCCCUUUCCCCUUGCUUUUUCUUGGCAGAAGAGGAGGUUUUCUUGAGGACACACACAUGCAUGCACCAACGGAGUCAAAAAGCAUCUCUGGGGGAAAGCAGUAAGAAAAAAGAAAUGUCAUUUUACGUCACAAAUAAGCAUAGUCCUCAGCUGCCAAGGAACAGACAGACCUCUGCAGACAUCAAGCUCUGAUUGGUUGUAGUUACUUGAGGAGCUGAGACAAAUCCCCACCUUCAAUGACCCAGGUCACCAGCACCAACUAUUCCCUGCCUCUCUCUCUCAAGACUGUGACAGAUACUUGAUUUGUUGGACUUAGUGCUGAAUUAAAAUGUGGGACCUCCCACCCCCCCAUUCAAAAAGAAAGAAAAUAAGUGCCAUUAAAUGUACUAAAAUACAAACUUCUUCUCUUUAUUCUGCAUCCUGUCUGUACUUGGGAUGAUUUUUUAAAAUUGUUAUUAAAUGUUCUAAGUAAAGGAGAUUAAACAUGUAAGUUAUUAUUGUGAAUUUUAUUGUUUAUGUUGUGCAAUGUUAGUUUUGAAUGAAAUACAAGAAUCUUUA